rnacentral:rRNA from 1 species
GACGUAGGGCGCGAGCGUUGUCCGGAUUUAUUGGGCGUAAAGAGCUCGUAGGCGGCUUGUUGCGUCGUCCGUGAAAACCUGGGGCUCAACUCCAGGCUUGCGGUCGAUACGGGCAGGCUAGAGUUCGGUAGGGGGAGACUGGAAUUCCUGGGUGUAGCGGUGAAAUGCGCAGAUAUCAGGAGGAACACCGAUGGCGAAGGCAGGUCUCUGGGCAGUUACUGACGCUGAGGAGCGAAAGCAUGGGGAGCGAACAGG